rnacentral:rRNA from 1 species
UACGUAGGGGGCUAGCGUUGUCCGGAAUCAUUGGGCGUAAAGCGCGCGUAGGCGGCCCGGUAAGUCCGCUGUAAAAGUCCAGGGCUCAACCCUGGAAAGCCGGUGGAUACUGCCGGGCUAGAGUCCGGAAGAGGCGAGUAGAAUUCCUGGUGUAGCGGUGGAAUGCGCAGAUAUCAGGAGGAACACCAAUAGCGAAGGCAGCUCGCUGGGACGUUACUGACACUGAGGCGCGAAAGCGUGGGGAGCGAACAGG